rnacentral:lncRNA from 1 species
UGUGGGCUGGGUUUCCAUGACCUGAUCAAAUGCAGAUCAUAACAUCAGUAAUAGAUUUUAAUAAAAAUGGAGAAAGAUCGAACAAUAAACUCAGAAAAUAUCAGCAGCUCCCGCUGUACCUUCUUCACUACACAGCCGGACGAUUAUCGAUGUGAAGUGAUUCUUGCUGUAAAAAAGGCCACUGGGACGUUUUCUCUAGUAGCAUGUCUCUUUAUGCUGUUUGUGAUUUGGCUGCUGAGGAGAUAUAACUCUCUGGCUCAGAAGAUGAUAGUGAGUCUAACAGUGGCAGCGUUCUUUGACAGUGUUGCAUAUGUCAUGGGAGAGUCUCAUCCAGAGGGCACUCUGUGUAAUUUCCAGGCCUGGUGGUUAACGUAUUUUGACUGGAGUGCGCUGGCCUGGGUGUGUCUCAUCACCUGGAAUCUCUACCUGAACCUCGUCAGAGAGAUCAGAACCGAUCAUUAUGAGAUACUGUACCAUAUAGUUGCGUGGGGGAUUCCCCUCCUAAUGUCCGCACUCCCUCUAAUUCAAGGAUACUACGGUCCAGCUGGAGCCUGGUGCUGGAUCACAGAUGAUCAUGUGGCCUGGAGGUUUGGGAUAUGGUACGUCCCACUCUUCACUCUUAUCCUCCUCAUGAUCUGCUGUUACGCUCGUAUUAUCUACGUGGCCAGUGAUAGGGCUUCAUAA